rnacentral:snRNA from 1 species
UAAGUCACCUGGUGGGGAAGUACCACCAUCACAAAGGUGACUUUCCCAGGGUGAGGUGUAUCCAUUGCACUCCCACAUGCUCAACCCUGUGUUCCCCAAAUGUGGGAAACUCAACUGCAUAAUUUGUGGUAGUGGAGGACUGUGUUCGAGCUCUCUCCUG